rnacentral:rRNA from 1 species
GUGUCAGCCGCCGCGGUAAUACAGAGGGUGCGAGCGUUGUCCGGAAUCACUGGGCGUAAAGGGCGCGUAGGCGGUUGCCGAAGCGUGCGGUGAAAGCCCGGGGCUCAACUCCGGGUCGGCCGUGCGAACCGAGCGACUGGAGUCCGGUAGAGGCCGAUGGAAUUCCGGGUGUAGCGGUGGAAUGCGUAGAGAUCCGGAAGAACACCGGUGGCGAAGGCGGUCGGCUGGGCCGGAGACCAAUGGUCUGCCUGGGAAACCAGGUACUGACGCUGAUGCGCGACAGCGUGGGGAGCAAACAGGAUUAGAUACCCCCGUAGUCC